rnacentral:rRNA from 1 species
CCUACGGGAGGCAGCAGUGGGGAAUAUUGGACAAUGGGCGAAAGCCUGAUCCAGCAAUGCCGCGUGAGUGAUGAAGGCCUUAGGGUUGUAAAGCUCUUUUACCAGGGAUGAUAAUGACAGUACCUGGAGAAUAAGCUCCGGCUAACUCCGUGCCAGCAGCCGCGGUAAUACGGAGGGAGCUAGCGUUGUUCGGAAUUACUGGGCGUAAAGCGUGCGUAGGCGGUGAUUCAAGUCAGAGGUGAAAGCCUGGAGCUCAACUCCAGAACGGCCUUUGAAACUAGAUCGCUAGAAUUAUGGAGAGGUAAGUGGAAUUCCGAGUGUAGAGGUGAAAUUCGUAGAUAUUCGGAAGAACACCAGUGGCGAAGGCGACUUACUGGACAUAUAUUGACGCUGAGGUACGAAAGCGUGGGGAGCAAACAGGAUUAGAUACCCUGGUAGUCCACGCCGUAAACGAUGAUAACUAGCUGUUCGGGCUCUCAGAGCGUGUAGUGGCGCGACGCGUACGACGAUUAAGUUACGUUACCGUCCGUCGGGUAGGUACGGUACGGCGAGUAAGUUAAACGUUAAAGUUAAGUUAAGUUAGUUAGGUUACGUGAGACGUUGCCGACGGACGACGACGAGGGAGGAGG